rnacentral:pre_miRNA from 1 species
UUAACUCAGAUUUGUAUGGAGUUGGAACGUUGGCCUACGUUUGCCGCUAGGGGCGCUGUUCCAACUGCAUACAAAAUUGGGCUA